AUGUCCAAACCCCAGCUCAACCCUAACCCUAACCCUAGCUUCAUGUCCAAACCCCGGCUCCACCCUAACCCUAACCCUAGCUUCAUGUCCAAACCCCAGCUCAACCUUAACCCUAACCCUAGCUUCAUGUCCAAACCCCAGCUCAACCUUAACCCUAACCCUAGCUUCAUGUCCAAACCCCGGCUCAACCAUAACCCUAGCUUCAUGUCCAAACCCCAGCUCAACCUUAACCCUAACCCUAGCUUCAUGUCCAAACCCCGGCUCAACCAUAACCCUAGCUUCAUGUCCAAACCCCAGCUCAACCUUAACCUUAACCCUAACCCUAGCUUCAUGUCCAAACCCCGGCUCAACCAUAACCCUAGCUUCAUGUCCAAACCCAGGCUCAACCCUAACCCUAACCCUAGCUUCAUGUCCAAACCCCGGCUCAACCCUAACCCUAACCCUAGCUUCAUGUCCAAACCCCGGCUCAACCCUAACCCUAACCCUAGCUUCAUGUCCAAACCCCAGCUCAACCUUAACCCUAACCCUAGCUUCAUGUCCAAACCCCAGCUCAACCUUAACCCUAACCCUAGCUUCAUGUCCAAACCCCAGCUCAACCUUAACCCUAACCCUAGCUUCAUGUCCAAACCCCAGCUCAACCUUAACCCUAACCCUAGCUUCAUGUUAAAACCCCAGCUCAACCAUAACCCUAGCUUCAUGUCCAAACCCCAGCUCAACCUUAACCCUAACCCUAGCUUCAUGUCCAAACCCCGGCUCAACCAUAACCCUAGCUUCAUGUCCAAACCCCAGCUCAACCUUAACCUUAACCCUAACCCUAGCUUCAUGUCCAAACCCCGGCUCAACCAUAACCCUAGCUUCAUGUCCAAACCCAGGCUCAACCCUAACCCUAACCCUAGCUUCAUGUCCAAAUCCCGGCUCAACCCUAACUCUAACCCUAGCUUCAUGUCCAAACCCCGGCUCAGCCCUAACCCUAACCCUAGCUUCAUGUCCAAACCCCGGCUCAACCCUAACCCUAACCCUAGCUUCAUGUCCAAACCCCGGCUCAACCCUAACCCUAGCUUAAUUUCCCAACCCUGGCUCAACCCUAACCCUAACCCUAACCCUAGCUUAAUUUCCCAACCCUGGCUCAACCCUAAUCCUAGUUUCAUGUCCAAACACCAGCUCAACCCUAAACCUAACCCUGGCUUCAUGUCCAAACCCCGGCUCAACCCUAACCCUAACCCUAGCUGA
rnacentral:lncRNA from 1 species